ACACCUUCAAUAGUUACCAGCAAGACAUUUCCAGGAAUAUCUCCAGGGCUUUUGUUGUUGACAAUUUCAUGUCUAUUAGAAUACUGAAUGUAAACAGUUUUACCACGAACCAUAGCUGGUUCUGAAGAUGAAGCAUAAUAUGAAACCAUCGAAAUGGCUUGAUUUAGAUCCACCUGGUAAAGCAUGUAUACUUGAGAGUUAAAAAAUCAUAAAAAAAGGA
rnacentral:misc_RNA from 1 species